rnacentral:rRNA from 1 species
UGGGGAAUAUUGCACAAUGGAGGGAACUCUGAUGCAGCGACGCCGCGUGAGUGAUGAAGGAAUUCGUUUCGUAAAACUCUGUUCUAUGGGAAGAAAAGGACUGUACCAUAGGAGAAAGCUCCGGCUAAAUACGUGCCAGCAGCCGCGGUAAUACGUAUGGAGCGAGCGUUGUCCGGAAUUAUUGAGCGUAAAGGGUGCGCAGGCGGCUUUACAAGUUGGAUGUGAAAUAUUGUGGCUCAACCACAAACGUGCAUCCAAAACUGCAAAGCUUGAGUUAAGGAGAGGUAAGUGGAAUUCCUGGUGUAGCGGUGGAAUGCGUAGAUAUCAGGAGGAAUACCGGUGGCGAAGGCGACUUACUGGACUUAAACUGACGCUCAGGCACGAAAGCGUGGGGAGCAAACAGG